rnacentral:rRNA from 1 species
CCUACGGGAGGCAGCAGUGAGGAAUAUUGGUCAAUGGGCGGAAGCCUGAACCAGCCAAGUAGCGUGCAGGAUGACGGCCCUACGGGUUGUAAACUGCUUUUAUACGGGGAUAACACGCUUUACUUGUGGGGCUUUGCAUGUACCGUAUGAAUAAGGGCCGGCUAAUUCCGUGCCAGCAGCCGCGGUAAUACGGAAGGCCCGAGCGUUAUCCGGAUUUAUUGGGCUUAAAGGGAGCGUAGGCGGGCGUUCAAGUCAGCUGUAAAAUGGCGCGGCUCAACCGCGCCCCGCAGUUGAAACUGGACGCAUUGAGUUCACAACAGGCAGGCGGAAUUCGUGGUGUAGCGGUGAAAUGCAUAGAGAUCACGAGGAACCCC